ACCUUAGUCACGUAUACUUAGCCGUUCUGCGUGGCAGCGGUCAUUUCAUCGUAAACCAAGUUAUGAAAGCGCACGAAACCGCGACUGAAAUCACUAGGACUCUCCUACGCGGGCGAUGCGCAGUCUGGGAGGAGCCCAGUUCUGAUCCCAACUUUAACACCAUUAUGGAAGAGUUCCAGUCCGAAAAAAAUACGGAAAAAUCGACGCAAUCAUCCCGGAUGUCGAUUCAGACUGCUCGCUGGACGCACGCCUAUCAGAAAUACAGGUUUGCACUAAAGGAGCCUGCGGAAGAAUUGAGUGGACACAAGACUGGGCUGUCAAUCUCAACACCAUCAUCAAUCUGCAUUUACACCUCAACAUCAGGAAGACAGGUGGACCAAUAGAAGUGGCCUCCAUACAAUCAAUUUAUCUGCUGCCCGAAAAUAUCAAGCCUGGAUUGGACGGUUCCAAGAUCGAGUUCUACACCGAUUUCAGCAAUGCUCGUUUUGACUGUGACGGUGUGAUUAUGGAUGACCUAAAAACGAAACCAAGAAGCGCAGACUGCGACUUGAUUGAAAGCCUAAAUUUUGUCCCGUACGGUGCAACAUCAUUUGCGACGGAGUAUGAAUUUGUUCGUGCGUGUUUCGAAGUAGUCCUAGAGAAUUCAACUCAGGCAAACAUGGAAGAUAAAAAAAUCACCAUUUGCAAACAAACAAAUGAAUCGAUUGUUAACCAAGUCUUUAACUGGUUAAAAGAUGCCGGCAUCUCAUUCAGCAGCAAACAGCAGCAGAUUCAGGUGGAAGAGAGCACAUUCUCUGAUGGACCGAAAUCGUCUGAUGGGCAUGUGUCAAUUUUAUGGAACGCCGGUGACAGCAAGCUACAAUUACCAUGUUUUAAUAACGUAGAUAACAUGUAUUUGAUGGUGAUUUCGCCGCAUAAAACCCGCAACGUUGUUGGAGUUGGAUAUGCGUCUAUUUACGAGCAAAUUAUCGGCACGUAUAGAUUUACUCUAUUCAAAAAGGUCAAGAACGUGUCGAAGCCGCGGUCAUUCAAAGUGGAUAAAAAUUGGAGACUCAGCGUCAAAAAUUUGAAAAAGGAUGGAACUCAACCGGGAGAAACUGUUCUCCUGCACAUUGAUGAUCCUGCGCUCGCAAACCCGCUUUUCCCUGUGAGAGAUAUCUUGAAUGAGCUAGUCGAUUACAACGCCAGGUGUUAUAUCAUCCUGGACAAAAAUGUCCCCGGGCCAGCCGAUGUGCGAAGUCAUAGGAUAUACGAUCCGCAAAUUCAGAGAGAUGUGGUAGUGAAUGUGCUCUUGGAUGGUCGUUGGGGGCGCUAUCAAAAACAGGAGAUUCCCAAAGCAGUCCUGACGCGAGUGUUGCCCACCACGAAGGAACCCGACCGCAAUAAUUCGGAAGAAGUCGACAUCAAAUACCUCGGCCUCAACGAAAUACACUACGAUGGCAGUGAGGUAUGUUCUCUUCCUGACAGGGUGAAGUGCUAGGAUCCACUUACAAAAUGAUACACCUUCUGCACCGUAAUACAGUUAAGGGGCCCUUCGAGUAUUUCGUAAGGAACUUAGGGGGGGGGGGGGAGUCUGAGCUUGUCUUACGGAGCCUUACGAAGGGGGGGGGGGGUUCAAGCCGAGUCUUACAUAAGCUUUUCGUUGUCCAAAAACACCCCUAAUAGUCCACAGAAGUCCCCAAUUUUGAUUUUUUUAUAACUGGUAAACACCCUGACGGUUAAAUUUCAAUUAUUUGUUUCUUUUCUUUUGCCGAUUUUCAUCAAAAUACAAAACUUACAUUUAUUCUAGCUAUUUUACCAGGAUUUCUCGGUUUUUUCUGAACAAAUGGGG
rnacentral:lncRNA from 1 species